GGGAGCAACCUAAAUCAGUGACCGAAGUACGUAGCUUUCUCGGCUUAGCUGGUUAUUAUCGGAGAUUCGUAGAAGGGUUUUCUCGAAUCGCUACUCCAUUAACUCAGCUGACUCGGAAAGAUACAAAAUUCGGUUGGAGCGAGGAAUGUGAGAAGAGUUUUCAAGAACUCAAGAGGAGACUCAUUUCAGCACCUGUUCUGACAAUACCAUCUGGCUCGGAGGGAUUUGUCAUCUACAGUGAUGCUUCGGGCAAAGGGUUAGGAUGUGUUCUCAUGCAACAUGGGAAAGUCAUAGCCUAUGCCUCACGACAACUCAAAGAAUAUGAGAGGAAUUAUCCUACUCAUGAUCUAGAGUUGGCAGCUGUUGUCUUCGCACUAAAGAUUUGGAGGCAUUACUUGUAUGGGGAGAAAGUGGAGAUCUUUACGGAUCAUAAAAGCCUCAAAUAUUUCUUCACUCAAAAGGAACUCAACAUGCGACAACGACGUUGGCUUGAACUGUUGAAAGAUUAUGAUCAUACCAUCCAAUACCAUCCUGGAAAAGCGAACGUGGUAGCUGACGCAUUGAGUAGAAGAUCAUAUGCGGGUACGAGUGCGAUAUUGUCAACGCAAAGGCCCAUUUUGUAUGACUUGCAAAGGAUGGAGAUAGAGAUAAAGACUCCAGGGACCCACGUGAUGAUGGCGAAUAUACGAGUAGAACCGACUUUAAUUGAUAAAAUUAAAGCUGCUCAAGCUACAGACCUGGAGCUGAUGCGUAUGAGGAAGAAAGUGCAAGAAGGUGCUAUGCCGGAAGCAAGAAUCGAUGAAGAAGGAAUACUUCGAGUCAACUCCAGACUUUGUGUUCCUAACGACCCUGAUUUAAAGUAUAAAAUCAUGAUGGAGGCGCACAACACACCGUUUGCAAUCCAUCCUGGGAGUACCAAAAUGUAUCAUGAUCUUCGACAUACAUUUUGGUGGGGCAAUAUGAAGAGAGAGAUAGCGCUGUUUAUCUCAAGGUGUCUAACGUGUCAACGAGUCAAGGCGGAGCAUCAAGUACCAAAAGGUCCAUUGCAACCACUUGAAAUUCCAGAAUGGAAGUGGGAGCACAUUACCAUGGAUUUCGUUACUGGUCUUCUCAAGGUUUCUCAAGGCAUAGAUUGACCAAGUCUGCUCACUUCUUACCAAUACGAGAAACUUAUACAUUUUAACGUCUUACUCGUAUGUACAUAAACGAGGUUGUAAGAUUGCAUGGUAUGCCAGAAUCCAUAGUGUCUGAUCGAGACCCAAGAUUCACUUCACAAUUUUGGGUUAGUUUGCAAAAAGUUAUGGGCACGAAUUUAUGAUUUAGCUCGGCAUAUCAUCCUCAGACGGUUGGACAAUCGGAGAGGACUAUUCAAACUCUUGAAAAUCUAUCAAGACUCUGUGUCCUUGAUUUCAAGGGAAGUUGAGACAAGUUCUUACCAUUGGUGGAGUUUUCCUACAACAACAGUUAUCAAGCAAGUAUUGGCAUGGCUCCAUUCGAAGCGUUGUAUGGAAGAAAGUGUCGUUCUCCAGUAUGCUGGGAUGAGGUGGGUGAAGCAACGUUGUUGGGACCGGAGUUGGUACGUAUGACUACGAAAAAGAUUCAAACGAUCUGACAACGUAUAAAAACCUCACAAGAUCGACAAAAGAGUUAUGCUGAUCUUUAUUGAAAGGACGAGGAAUUCGAUAUUGGAGAUCAUGUGUUGUUACGCGUUGCUCCAUGGAAUGGAGUUACGAGAUUUGGAAAGAGAAGAAAUCUCAAUCCUCGAUUCAUUGGCCCAUUUUUAAUCCUCGAUCGAGUAGGAACUAUGGCGUAUAGACUCGCUUUACCGCCAAGUAUGUCUCGUGUUCAUAACGUUUUUCACAUAUCCAUGUUACGUAAAUAUGUGGAAGACCCGAACCACAUUAUUGAGUUAGAACCGGACGAAAUAGCGGAAGAUUUGAUGUAUGAAGAGGUUCCUGUUCAAAUCUUGGAUAAGAAGGAAUAUAUUCUACGCUCUAAGGUUAUACCUCAAGUCAAAGUUUUGUGGAGAAACCACGAUGUUGAGGAAAUGACCUGGGAGUUAGAAUCUGAUAUGAAAUCAAGGUAUCCUUACCUCUUCGACAUACCAGGUACGUACCCUAAUUUCGAGGGCAAAAUUUCAUAAGAAGGGGAGAUUGUAAGACCUCAACUUUUAUAAAUAAAGAUGAAUUUUCUAUAAAUAUCAUUUUUGAAUAUUAUGGAAUUAAUUUGAUAGAAUGUUAUAGUUGUGGGUAAUAUUUAGAAAUUUUGCAAAGUACGCAAGUUGUUAUAUAAUAUUCGAUUGGUUGGGGAAUAUUCGUUUUAACUGGAAAUAUUUGUACAACGACACAAUCAUUGGUGGACCUCACAACAGAAUUAUUGUCGGAUUGAGAAAACGAUAAAAAAUACUUUAUGAAAAUAACGACGGAAGUUUUACCGUUAACUGUUGAAACACCCGGUGUUAAAAGUAAAAUAAUACGCGUAGUUGCAUAGUAGCACACGGUAUUGAUUAUUGAUGCUUACGAGAGAAGUCACUCAGUUUUGUUCAAUUAUUGUUACAGUAAUUGCUACAUAGUAUCUCACGUUAUUUGAUUCAAUUAUUGUCAAUAUUUUAUAAUCAAUAAUUGAGAUUAUAAAAUUAUUAAUAUUAUUAUUUGCAAUAUUAACGAUGUCUAGAAGUUCUGUCAAGGAGAGGUUUGGUCACCUAAUUGCACGCCAAUGGGGAGAAAUCCUUAUUAGAAAGCCCCCUCUUUCCUGGGAACGACCUGGUCGAUUAAUAUUGUGAAUUAUAAUAAUGAUGAGUUUUGUUUUAUUAGUAUUAUUAAUGUAAUAAAACAGAAAAACUUUUUAUGUUAAACAGAAUACUUUUAUAAAGUUAUUCGUUUUAUUAGACUAUAAAUAGAAUAUUAUAUUCUAUUAUGCAUAGUAUUUUGCAUAGUAAAAUCUUUUUAUAUAAAAUAGAAUACUUUUAUAAAGUUAUUCGUUUUAUUAGACUAUAAAUAGAAUAUUAUAUUCUAUUAUGCAUAGUAUUUUGCAUAGUAAAAUCUUUUUAUAUAAAAUAGAAUACUUUUAUAAAGUUAUUUAUUUUAUUAGAUUUUAAAUAAAAUAUAUAAAUAUAUAUAAAUAUAUUUAGAAUAUAUUAUAUUUUAUUGCAUAGUGCAGCAUAGUAUCCUUUCUAUUUUCCUAUAAAUAGGAUGCUUAGUUAAAAUUGAAAACCACACCAGAAGUUCAGAGAAUUCUUCUAUAAUCUUGAGUGUAUUUCAUUAAGAGUUUUAAGAAGGUUUGAGCGUAGUGUAAGUUUUCUUCAAGAAUAUCCUCGUCCUACCAGUCGGAAUACUAUUCUUUUACGGUAAGGGAUAUUAUUUGUUGUACUCGUAAGGAGUAUUCUUUCUUUCUUAUUCAUGAAGAGAACUUCUGUAAUUCCAUUCUUUAUUAUUCUGUUGGAAUAACCUGUAUAUGCGGGCUACCCUAUACUUGGUGAAAUUCUUCUUUUAUUCUAUUUUUUAUUAUUCUGUUGGAACAUCCUGUCUGUUCUUUACGCAUGACCUGGUUCCGUUAUUUAUCAUUCUGUUGGAACAUCCUGUCUGUGCUUUAUGCAUGACCUGGUUCCAUUAUUUAUCAUUCUGUUGGAAAAUCUUGUAUGUGCUUUACGCAUGACCUGGUUCUAUUAUUUAUUAUUCUGUUGGAAUAUCCUGUCUGUGCGUUUACGCAUGACCUGGUUCCAUUAUUUAUCAUUCUGUUGGAAAAUCUUGUAUGUGCUUUACGCAUGACCUGGUUCUAUUAUUUAUUAUUCUGUUGGAAUAUCCUGUCUGUGCGUUUACGCAUGACCUGGUUCCAUUAUUUAUUAUUCUGUUGGAAUAACUUGUCUGUACGGUCUAUCGCAUGCUUAGUGAAUUUUUUUGUUAUUCCAUUCGUUAUUAUACUCAGUUGGUUAAAGCUUUGACUUCUAUACUCCAUGAAAUUAGUGAAAUAUCCUUGAUAUUUGCGCUUCAUCCAGUAUCUUUUCAUGGAAAUAUUCUUCUGGGCAUUCUUGAAUUUUACUCCACAAAGAAGUAUCAUGUUGACAAUUUGGACAUUAUUGGUUCCUAGAUAAAUUAAUUCUUGAACUUGUUUUAUUGAAUUCCUAUAUCAUUGUCAUCAUCCUCAUGUUUAUAUUCUGUUGAAAGUCAUCUGUGGCCUGUAGUGCAUAGAUGGACUUGGUAUGAUUAUGACUAGGGAUUAUUCGGUGUAAUCAUGACCGUAAUAAUACAAAUGAUGUAGAAAAAGUCCUCAUUGGCCCGUAGUGCAUUGAUGGACAGUUGUUGGCAUGAUCAUGACCAUUGAUGAAUACACGAAUAUCCUUGCCCUGUAGUACAUGGAUAAUUUGUGGUCGUGAUAUUAAUGAAUAUCUUUGGCCGUAGUGUAGGGAUGAUGUGGAUUAUUUAUUAAGCUGAGUCUCAGCGAUAAAAGUAAUGAAAAACCUUUUAAAUCAUAGAAGAUAGUAGAUUUUAUUCUCUACUUGACUCUUCUAAUGGAUUGCUUGUACCGCUGCAGUUAAACUUGAUGUUUGUUAUAUUUUAUCAAUUUAACACUGUUGAAGGCUAAUGAUAAUUUAUUCUGCAUUAUCUUAGUUAUAAUUUUUCUUACUGGGCUAGUUGAGCUCACCCUUUUACUUUCAUUAUUCUCUUCAGGAAAUGAGAACGUAGCAGGGACUAGUCGGGGAACAGAGUGGUGGUCCUAUAUGGUGCAUUAGUAGUCCACACUAUUCUGUGAAAUAGUGUGAUAAUAAAUGUAUUGAGGACCCCAUUGAGUUUGUAUAUUGUCUAGAUGACAAUAUUUAUAUUAAAACUCACAGCAUAUGUUUAGUCAUAUUUUACACGACUGUUGUAUAAUUAAGUUUGUAUUUGAAUUAUGUACCAUAUAUUUGGCGACUCAAGAUGGGUGAUGUAUACCUAUUUUGGGGGUGUCACAUCGUUAGUUCGGGAUAAAGGGGCAAAUCAGUUCCCGGUAUACUACGUCUGCCAUGUACUUCAAGACGCAAAAAUUCGAUACCCGAACCUGGAAAAAUUCGCCUACGCUUUGAUCAUUGCAAGCAGAAAACUUCGGCAUUAUUUCCAGGGUCGGAUGGUGGUAGUAUACACGGAUCAGUCGUUGAAGAAAAUCCUGUACCGACCAGAGGUCUCGGGGCGACUGACGGCAUGGGCCAUGGAAUUAACACAGUUUGCAUUAAAAUAUCUACCUCGGACAGCAAUCAAAGGACAGGAACUAGCUGAUUUCGUCGUGGAAUGCUCGUUCUCAGAACCGGAUGUGGGAUCGGUUACCGAAACACAACAUGUGAGAACUUCAUGGGCACUUUAUGUUGACGGCUCAUCAACCUCGGACGUCAGCAGAGCAGGGGUCAUACUGACGAGUCCCGAAGGGUUCAAGGUCCAACAGGCCAUUCAAUUCCAAUUCAAAGCGACCAACAACGAAGUAGAGUACGAAGCCAUUCUAGCUGGGCUGAAGUUGGCCCGAAGCCUGGAAGUACAAAAUUUAGUCAUCUAUAGUAACUCCCAGUUGGUCGUCAAACAGAUAUCUAGGGAGUAUGGGCUCCGGGGGCAAGAAUGACAAGAUAUUUAGUCGAGGUGAAGGAUAAGAUGGCAUACUUCACUUCAGUCAGCUAUUAGGGAGUGGAUCGAUCCGACAAUACAGUAGCAGAUACUUUGGCUCGAUUGGCAACCACAGAAGCAAGCUCCUUCAGCGGGUCGGUAUAUCUGGAAAUACUGGAACAACCAAAUGUUCCAAAGUUGGAGGUAUUAUGCGUGGAUCGGCUCGACUGCUGGCUAACACCAUACAUCUCAUUUUUGGCCGAGGGGGUGUUACCUUCGGAUCGCAUCCUACCAAAGAAGAUCAAGCACCAAAGUUCAAAUUUUGUACUUAUUGAUGGAGAUCUAUAUCGAAGGGAUUUUAGUUCUCCACUGCUCAAGUGCUUAACACCGUCAGAAGCAAACUAUGCACUUCGGGAGGUACACGAAGGAAUCUGUGGAGAUCACAUGGGAGAAAAGUCGCUGGCACACAAGAUUCUGAGGCAGGGAUAUUAUUGGCCAACCAUUUAUCAAGAAGCGAAGGACUUUGUCAAAAAAUAUCCCAAGUGCCAGCUGAACAACGCCAUUCCACACCAACCUCCUGAUGAGUUGUAUUCGGUCUUAUCACCGAUUCCUUUUGCCAUGUGGGGAAUCGACAUCUUGGGUCCUCUACCGAAGGCCAAGGGGCAAGUAAGUUUUGUGAUCAUUGCCAUCGACUACAUGACCAAAUGGGUCGAAGCCAAACCUCUACAAAAAAUCACCGAACAAGAAUGCCUGAAAUUCUUCAAAGAAGGGGUCAUAUAUCGGUUUGGUAUCCCGAUGGCCUUAGUCUCGGACAACGGCCGACAGUUUGUGGGAUCGAAGUUUGAAAGUUUUUUUGAAAGAAUUGGGGAUUCAACAUAGAAAAACAUCGGUGGCACACCCUCAGUUGAACGGGCAGGUAGAAGUCACCAACUGAAUCCUUCUUAACAGUAUCAAAAGGAGGUUGGAUGAGUUAAAGGGUCGCUGGCCAGAGGAGUUACUUAGUGUUUUGUGGGCCUAUCGAACUACACCACGAACAACAACUGGAGACUCACCGUUCAGAUUAGCCUUCGGGACCGAUGCUCUCAUACCAGUUGAGAUCGGCUCCCCUACACUUUGGGUCAGUCAGUAUAAGGAUUUAUACAACGAGGAUGGCCUACGCCUCAACUUAGAUCUUUUAGAAGAAGUCCGGAAGUCGGCACUGAUGCGACUAGCCAUUUAUCAGAAGCCUACUGCCCGACACUACAAUCAAAAAGUUAAGCAAAGAUAGUUCGAGGCUGGAGACUUGGUGCUUCGGGAAUCAGAGGCAUCGACCCCCCAGAAUACCGGCAAGCUAAUGCCUAAUUGGGAGGGGCCUUAUGAAGUAGUGGAGGUGUCGAAGCCUAGGACUUACCGGCUUCGAGCUAUGGAUGGCUCCGAGGUAAAGAAUACAUGGCAUGCUGGAAGACUUAGAAAAUAAUACUAGUAAAUGACUAUGCUAUUCUUUCCCUUAUUUAUGUAAUCUAUGCAAUUUAUCGAUGAAAUAAAAUUUUCUCUUCGAGAAACAUUUAUACUUCAUUUAAAUUCAUAAUGCUCUUACAAAUCCGAUCAGAUAAGCUUCGGACGUAAACUGAUCAGACAGUCCGGAAGGACCUAACUGAUCAGUGAAAGUCACAAGUAUAACUGAUCGAGAAAGCUGCAAAUUCGAUCAGAUAAGCUUCAGACGUAAACUGAUCUGACAGUCUGGAAGGACCUAACUGAUCAGUAAAAGUCACAAGUAUAACUGAUCGAUAAAGUUACAAAUCUGAUCGAGUAAGCGUCAAGCAUAAACUGAUCAGACAGUCAGAAAUGACCUAACUGUUCGGUAAAAGUCACGAUCAAAACCAAUCGAGAUAACAACUAAGAAAUUUAUGCUAUUUCAUUCAUAUCCAUAUGUUUUAUAAUUCCUGAUCAGACAGGCUUCGGAUACACUUACCAUCAGCCUAACUGAUCGAGCAAAUUAUAAAACUAAGAAAGGAAAAAUUUACAAAUACGAAAAUCAUCUAUCAAGGCAAACCAUCAUCAGCUUCGGCUUCGGAUUCCUCAUCGGAAGAGUCGAGGAUGGAGGCAUCCAGCCCAGCAUCAACCAAAUUUUCCCGGGCCUUCUCCUGAUAAGCCUCAACCCCUUCAGCAAACUGGGUCAUAAUCUUAUCGGUCAAGGAAAGAGAUUCUUCAUAAUCCUUGAUGGAUGCCUGUUUGAUGGCGGCCUGUUCAUCCCUCAAGGUAUUGUUUACCUAGAUCAGCGUCCUCAGUUGACCGUGUACUCCAUUGAAUUUUUCCUCGAUGGUGUGAAGAUUCUCCACCAAGACCUUGUUCUCCUCGGCCAGAAGCUCUUUGUCCUGCACAAGCUUCUUGGCAUGACCAUCGAGACCGAUGAACUCUUUCUGAAGUAGAGAAUGUUGUUCUUCAAGUUCAUCGAUUCGACGAUCAGCCUUGGUCACCUUGUUACGGGUAUCAGCGUGAAGGUCCCUCUCCCUCUUCAGCUCCGAAUCUCGACCCCACAACUCGGCUUCGAGAAGCAACACGUCAUGUUUCAGUUGCACCUCUUUCUUAGUAGAUCGAGCAAGAGGAGGGAUAGCCCGAGCAAGGAUGGCAUUGGCCUAAAUACAAAAGACACAUCAGUCAUGCAAAACACAACAUAACGAUAAAGGAAAAAAUGUGAUUUGCUGAUUGGGAUUACCUGGCACUGAGCUCUGAUAUAGGAUACCAGAUACUCCUCGGAUGAAUAUCCCCUGAACCGUUCUUCGUCACCAGGGAGUUUUAAGUGCUCGAACAGAUUGAAGGGGAAUAUUUCCGAAGGACUCUUCGGCCAACAGGUAGUCGGCGAUCCUUGAGAUGAAUUGGCCUUAGAGGUAGGGGUCGAGUCAGGGACCGGGUCGACCAUCGCCACUACCGAUUCGGGAGCUUUCCCCAGAUGGGGUUUCUUUGGUUGAGGUUUGAGAAGCCGAUCUUCUGUGUCCUCAGAAUCCUCGACCACCGUGACUAUUGUAGGGGGUGGGAGUGUCGGCUUCGGCUGGGCUGAUGAAGCGGCCUUGGUAGGGGCCUUGGCAGAAGGUUUCUUUGCCUUCUUUAGCAGGGCCAUCUUAUCAGCCCGUUUCAUCUUCAGCACGUUCUUGGUGGAAGCCUCAGCCUCUGAAAUUGGAUUGAUAGGACCCGAGGAAGAACCGAUGGAGAUUUUGGUCAGGGGAAUGGCUUCUUUCUCGAGAGAAUCAUCAGCAGCGGGAGGACAAAUGGGUUCGACAAUGACCGGCAGAGGUGUCAAGGCCACAUCAGCCCCAUCAGGCUUGAAAAUGGUCACUACAACAGAAAAUAAAGCAGUUAAGGAAAAAAGCCAGUAGAAGAUCGGGAGGUUAAACAAAGGAGUUUGGGGAGUAUGACUUACAGCCGUGUUCGUAGAGCCAAGAUUCCUUAGACACGACCCCCAGACCCCAACUAGUUUUCUUCAAAAGAGAGUAAAACUUUUUGAAGGCGUCAGCUCGAUCCUUCGAAAAUUUGGUAAUCUUUACAAUGGGAUCCUCGGGACCAGCCCAGCUCGAUAGGAGAUUAAGGUCGGAUCCUUUCAUGAAAAACCACUGUGAGUGCCAACCCUUAUUGCUAGAAGGGGUCUUCAUAAAGGUAGCUCGGCCAGAUACCUGGUUCAGGUGUCGGAGACCAGGCUCCUUUGAUCGACUAACAGAAAAGAGGACGAAGAAGAAGUCCAGCCCUGGAGUGAUACCAGCCUCCUGGCAUAGGGCAAUGAAAUUGACAAGCUGGAUAUAGGAGUUCGGCGCCAGCUGGGAGAACCCGAUCCCAACGAAAUAGAGAAAUGAGGAGAUGGACUCAUGAAGAGGGAAACGGACCCCAUACCUCAAAGCAUAGAGGUGAACGGCCAUCCAACCGCCUUCGGGACGCCAGAACAUCCUCUCGUUCGGCUCCGAUACUCGAAGUUUGUACUCUUUGGGGAUAUUGAAUACGGACCGAAUGUCGGAUAAUUGGGAUGAAGUGAUGGAUGAUUCGGUGUUGAUAACGGCGUAGUCGGUUUUGGAUGCAUAUAGGCUUCGAUUUUUGGAUUCGACACUCUCAGUAGGGAUGUCGGUCGGAGCUGUCGGUAACUCGACCGGAACCAGGUCGCCGGAGGCGAGUGUAGCGGUGCCGGUCAAAACGAUCGUCGUGGGAGGAGGAUCACUGGAAUCUUCCAUUUGAUUAGCGCACAGAACAAAGGCGAAAUGAUGAAGUUUGGAAAAUGAUUAAAGAAACUGGAAUUAGAGAAUCGGUGAAAACGGAGUAUUCGCCGAAAAUCGCCCUUGCCGGAAAAUUUCAGGAAAGAUUUGAAAUGGUUGAAGGCUCGAAAAAGUGAGAAUGAUGGAUGGAUUUGGACUUAUAUAGCAUGUCUGACACGGUUUUCAAGGGCGGCUAUUUAUGGUGAGUGGGGUCCAUCCCUAGGAAAAUGUGUAUCAGCUCGUAAACCGAGAAGAAACCGCUUGGGUUCCCAAGGCUUCUCAUCAUUACUGGGCGUGACUAUUCAAAUUAGUGUCCUUCCGAUUCUCAUGUCAUAAAUAUCUUAUAAUAAGAGACUGGGGGGCAAUGUUCGGGAGUGUUUUACCGACCAUGAUGAUAGCUUCAAGCCUGGGUUGGAACUGUUGAGGUUGGGCCUAUGUGGCCAAAGACAUACAGGAUGUUGGGGAUGGUCGGGUUCGGAUACCCGAUCCCAUUAGGCCAGAAUCCGGUUGUGAUCAGGGAGGUCGGGGUCGGGCCUUCGCGUCCUUUGGGCCGAAGCCUGGAUCGGUGUUUAUGUUGUCUGUUGGGUUGGGCCUGUGCAGUUAGACAACCCAUAUGCAGAGUUGGGAGUGAUAAGGGGUUUACAUGGUUAAGGGUUCUAACCCUAGCCAUAUUCUAAUAAGGUAACUCCAAAGGUAGUAUCGGAAAGGGAUUCUACUUACGCCUUUUAUGGAGAUUGUGUUGGACCCAAAUAUGGGUAACUGGCAUAUUUAGGAGUCCUAUUCCGACUCAGAGAGGGACUCUUGGGAGAUGAGAAUGGCUAUAAAUACAAGGCAUAACUACAAUUGACAGGUAAUACAUCUUUGAGAACUAAACACUUAAGCCUCCAUUGUUAAACCUUGUGAACGACCUGUACUUAUUUUUACACCGGAGCUAUCCCCCAGCGGCACAAGCCGUCAAGAUUAUGUGUGAUCUGUUAUUGUGCAGGUUUUAACGCGUGGAUUCAGUGAUUGGACGCACAGACAAAACUUGGCGUUAACACUACUAAUUAUCAUCUUUGUUGUUUUUAAAACUUAAACGAAAUUAUAUCAAUUUGGAGUUUUAGGAUUUCCCUAAUUGAUUUUAAAAAGUCAAAAUGUAUUUCUAAUUUUGGAACAAAGACAAUACUUUUUUUCUAAAAAAAAUACAAAUUAGACUCUUUUUAAGAGUACAAGGUAGAAUGCAGCUAUAAAAAUACUUAUACACAAUAUUUGGUAAUUUGGUAAUUAAAGAAAAGACACAAAAAAAUGUUAUUUUGUGAUGAAGGGACUUUUCUAAAUAAAUGUGGUUUCUAAGUAUGUUUCGUGCAUACGUUAAAACUAGUGCUAAGACACUUAUUCUCUUUGACGAUAAUCAUGUGUUAGGUAUUUUUCUUCUCAUUGACGUUGAUGAAUUUUUGAUUUUGGAUUAAUUAUUUCUCAGGUUUAAUUGAUGCAUAAGUUUGAAAAUAUGGUUAAUUUUGUCUAACAAAAAACUUAGAAACAUCACAAGUAAUUAAAUUUUAGAGAGUAUAAAAGUUUUAGAGAGAGAAGUUAAAAGGAAGAUAUAAAAAAUAAAUUUAAAAUAAUUUAUUUAAUUGGACCAUAAUAAUGGUAAGCUUGAAAUUUGAAGUAUGAGUUUAUCUAUAUUUGACCCAUAACUAUAUGUUUUCAACUCAUAAUUAUAUAAUUUCAACCCACAUAAUUCAUAUUAAAAAUAAGUAAUGUGAUUUUAGUUCUUAAUUAAACAGAACCAUAACUAAAUUAUGUAAACCAAAACUAACCCAUUACCAGACCUACGUAUAUAGAAAAUAAUAAUAUUGUGUAACUUAUUUGGAAUUAAUAAUGCGCAACAGAAUUGAUCUUUCUGAAUGACCAAAUUACUACUCCCUUAAUGCCUUAAAUGUUGGCUUGAUGAGAAACCUUCAAUAACCUUCUUAGAGCAUUCACAACAGUUUUCUUAUGUUAUCCCUAUACUUUACAGUUUUAUUGGGUCAUUCUAUAAAAUAGAGAUUCAAUUUUUUUACUAUGUACCCAACAUGUUCCUUAUAUUAUUCCUUAAAUAAUGAAAUUUAAAAUUUAAAAGUUUCAACAGUCAAAACAUCAAAUUAAUAAUAAUCUUAUAAUUUAUAAAAGAGAGAGUAUAAUUUAUCAAUUAUAUUCCACUGUAAAAUAAUUUUAUUUUAUUUUAAAUUUUAAGUAAUUUAUGGAGUGAGUAUUGAAUGAAUUAUAGUUGCAAAUGUACAUAAGAUCAAUAUUAACUUUUAAAAAGUUAAUUUGUGAUAUUUUUAAAUUUAACUUUAAUAUGAUUCAUUUAAAUUUUGAAAUAAUAAAUUUUAUAAUUAAUAGUAAUUUUAUAAUAUUUAUAAUUAUAUUGACAUAAAUUAAAUAAAUCUAUAUCAAAUUUAAAUUUGAAAACAUUUGAAAUUAAAUUAUUUUAAAAGUCAAUAUUAAGUUUAUAAUUUAAAAUUGAAGUAGUAAAAAAAAUGUCAAGAUGUGUAUGCUUGAUGAGUUAUCCACUUAAAUAAGGGUGUAAAAUGUCAUUUUGUAUAUAUAGAGAACAGUCUUUUGAUUCCCUCACAUUGGGGAGUAAAAUCCUAUAUAGGGAUUAAAAUAGAGAGUCGAAUAAGGAUAAAGAAACUGUUGGAUAAUAAUUUGUUGAUGUAUUCUUUAAAAUUGGGAAUAAAAAGUUGAUUAGAGAAACUGUUAUUAAUGCUCUUAGUAUUAUGAAAUUGGUAUGUGUAUAGAAUGAAGGGGGAUGACAUAGUUCUUUAUUUAUAAUAAUUCUGAUUAGCAAUCCUAGUGGAACUAUUUAUCACAAGCCCAAAAUGUUAUUUAAAUAACUCAUACUAGCCAAUAGGGGUGAGCAUGGUACGGUUUGGUGCGGUUUGAAGUCCAAACCGCACCCGAAACCGCUUAAGUGCGGUUUGAAAAAUUCAAAACCGCACCCGAAACCGCUUGUGAUUGGUGCGGUGCGGUUUUAAAGUGUGCGGUGCGGUUUUAAUUGGUGCGGUUUCGGUUCCAAAACCAAUUGAAACAACAAAAAAGUCUAAGCCUUCAAUAAAAUUUAACAUAAAACUUACAUCGAACAAUUAACUUAGUGACAAAGUCGGCAAUGAGAAUUAUAUCAAGUAUGCUUUAAAACUAAAACAUACGCUAUAUAAAACAACGGAGACCAUAUAUUCGAUAACAAGUAAAAAUGUUUAUCUAGUUCCCCAAAAAUUAAAAGUAUAUACUGGAGAUAGAAUGAAAUUCUAUCUCAUAUAUUGCAGGGAGGACUUAUAGAAUAUAAUCCUAACUAUACCUAAUUUGAAAAAUAAUCUAUUAGACUAUUACUAUUAUAGCAUUGACAUUAACCAAUGCAUCAAGUGCUCGAGCCCCUCAGGCCCCUCCAAUAACGCAUCAAACAAUUCAAAAUUCCAAAACACAAUUGCUUAAUUUUUGACUCUAUAACCUCUAACAUCUUCUUUCAAUUGGUGAAAAAAUGACAAUGCAAGACUGAGGUUUUCCAUGAGCAUGUUCAAGUGAAAAAUAACUUUAGAAUUUACUAGAGAUAAUACAUACAUACACACACAUGGUGCGGUUUCGAUUUUAUGCGUGCGGUUUUGGCUAGUAACCAAAUCAGAACCGUAAAUUUGGUUAUUCAACCCACCUAAAACUGCCAAUACGCCGGAACCGUUGGUGCGGUUCGUGCGGUUUCGGUUCUAAUUUGGUUACUUGCUCAGCCCUACUAGUCAACCUAAUCUAUAUUAGACUUAAUUAGAGUCCAUAUAUCACACUUAAUUAGACCAAUUAAUUAGCCUAAUUUAUAUAAAUAUAAUUAAUAUUCUCUCAUAAAAUAUUCUUAAAAGUUUAUCUAUGUAUUCAUCUAAAUUUAUUUAUUAUUAAUUAAAUUUAUUAAUAAUGUUUAUUUAUAUCUCUUCUUCUUCAAUAAGGGAUCGACAAGCCAUUAAUUCUACAACCAAAAAUCAGGGCGGGUAAAAUGUAAAAUUGACCAUUCAACAUUAGAAAUUUUUGUAUAUUGAUGACGUGUCGCACGUGGCAGAUCUGACGUGGGAAAUUUUUAAUUUUAUCCCAAAAAUAUGUUGCUCCAAUGAUUCAAACUCAAAAAACCUAGUUUGGAACUUUGAUCAUAUAACCACUCAAGCACCACGCGGUUAACUAUUAAUAUUUCGCAAGAAUUAAUAUUUAUAACAAAACAAUUCAUUUCCCAUAGAAAAAUUAAAAAACAAAACAGAUCAUUCAUAUUAGUCAAGUCUCAUUUUGUUUUUUAUCUUACCUGGAACUUAUCGACGGAUCAACCUAAAAUAGAAUACUGCAAAUCUAGGAUUUAUUGACAUCCCAUAUCCAUAACAGCACAAACUCAAGCUCUUUGACAAUAGUAAAUUGAUUUGAACUAAAACCAAAAAUAAUACAUUAAUCCUAAAGCUUCUUUAAUUAACCAGUUCUUGAAUAGCUCCAACCCUUUGUGAAUCGCUACUUUCUAAAUCUAUCUCCCAGCUCGACGAAGCCGCCGCCACGGCAGUUGGAAUUUUGACCGAUGACGGGUUCUUCCAAUAUAGGCUUUUUCAGCCCUAGCUCUCUCGAUCUAUCAAAUGAUCAACGAGAGUGUAAGGCCUAUCUUAGUGCCAGAUCAUGCUCAGCAGCUCAAUCUUUCUUCUUUAGUGCAGUACAUUAGUUGCUUUAGUUUUAUUUCCUAUUAAUAAGAACAGUUGGUUAAUAUUAGUUAGUAAUUUUCUGAUUUAGUAGGUAAGGAUAGAGUAGUCCUUGUUCACUUUAGUCCAAGGACAUAUCAGUCUUUUAUUGCCUUUCUGUUUUGGAGUUUGUUACAUUUUUGUUGCUGAAUGCUGAGCUAUAAGUGUAGAAAUCGAGUUGUAUUGGGAUAUGCGAUGAUUGAAUAAAAAUCUAUUUCUCUCUCUCUUUCUUCUGAGCUUCUCCCUCCUUUAAUAAUUCUUUCUUUCACAGGAAGAAACCCUUCUUCCACUGCUUGAUUAGCUGCAGAUUUUGUUGGAACAACAGUCUGUUCCUUACAAUUUGGUAUCAAAGCCGUUCGAUUCCUUUAUGGCAACAAACAACCAGCGUCUCAGCAACUUGGAAGAGCAGAUAGGGGAGCACACUGAGUCCUUGUUGCAGCUUAAGACCCAGUUGCAGGAGUCAAUGGUGAGUCUUAAGCAGGAUUUUGGAGCACAAAUUGGUGGUCUCAAACAGGACUUUGUAGUAAAAAUAGAUCAGAAGAUGCAGCAGAUGAUGCAAUGGUUUGAAGAUCUGCUAGCAAUGAGGCUACCGGUGGUUCAAAACAGUACUGGUAAUCCCAACAAUUCAUCUGGUUCAAUAUUGGGUCCUUUGGAUGGUGGGGGAAGUAAUGAAAGGGAUGGUAAUAGCAUUUUCAAAGCUAUUAAAUUCGAGUUUCCCAAAUUUGAUGGAACUAACCCUAGGUCAUGGGUUAGAAGAUGUAAUAAAUUGUUUGCACAUCAUGUUGUAGCUGAGGAUCAAAAACUAUAUUUAGCCACCAUGAAUUUGGAAGGGGAAGCUGAAGAAUGGUAUGCUGGGUUUGUUCACGAAGGAGUAGAACUGACAUGGAAUGGAUUCGUUGAUGAAAUUGUAGCUAGAUUUGGUCCUGAGUCCCAGGCAAAUCCAAUAGGUGAACUUAAGAACCUGCAGCAGAAUGGGACUGUAGAUGAAUACAGAAGAAAAUUUGAAGAAUUAAAGGGUUGGGCUCUUUUAAGGAACCCUACUCUCAAUGAGUCCUUCUUCAUGGACUGCUUUAUGGGUGGUCUAAAGGAGGAGAUCAGGUUAGGUAUUCAGGAGCUGAAAACCACUACUCUUAAGGAAUUAAUUAGGGUGUCAAGGGUGGAGGAGGCUAAGUUUGAGGCUUGGGUCAAAAAGAGCAGGAAUUCUUAGAAAAGUACAGUGGUACCCUCUUCAAAGCCUGCAUUGAUAACUGGUAGUUCUAAUCCAGGUGUUCCCAUUAACCAGAUGGAGUAUAGCAGGUCUCUUCCCAUUAAAGGACUGACAAGAGAACAAAUUUCUGAGAAGAGAAGGAAAGGGUUAUGUUUUUCCUGUGAUGAACCAUAUACUUUUGGGCACAAAUGUAAGAAACCUCACCUCUUUAUGUUAUUACCAUAUGAAGCGGAGGGUGCUGAUACUGAGGAUGAGGAGUGUAGUGGGCUAGAUACUAAGGAGGUUAUGAAUGAUGGGGGUACACAGUAGGCACAUAUAACCCUACAUGCCUUAUCUGGGCAUAGUAAGAACAAUACUAUUAGGAUUUUGGGGAUGGCUCAUGGGAAGUUCCUCAAGAUUUUAAUUGACAGUGGCAGUACUAAUAACUUUCUGGAUCCAGUAGCAGCCAAAAGAUUGAGAGCUAAAGUACAGACUACUAAACCCAUCACUGUGUCUGUUGCUGAUGGGUUCAAAGUCAGUAGCAAUCAAGAGUGCUUGGGCCUUCAUUGGACAGUACAAGGAGAGGAAUUCAACACUGACUUUAAAAUUCUGCCCUUAGGUGGUAUUGAUGCUGUGCUUGGAGUUCAGUGGUUAAAGGAAUUCAACCCAACCACCUUUGACUUUAAUCAACUAUAACUUUCAUUCAUGAAAAAUGGAAAACCAGUAAUGUUGCAAGGGGAAUCAGACUCUGUGGUCCCAACUGUCCAGAUUAUGGCUUCUGGUGAAUUCAACAAUACCCUCAAUACUACCACCCAUGGUUAUUUUGGGUAUUUGUUUGGCAUGGUCCAUGAUACCAUAGAAGAAGAAGUAACAGCUAACAAAGAGGAUGCUACCUGGGCAAAGAAAAAUGAGCCAUCAUUCAACCACCAACUAGAAGCUUUGCUUGAAGAAUAUUCUGUGAUAUUCCAAGAACCCAAACACUUACCUCCUAAUAGAACUCAUAACCACCACAUUAACCUAAAGGAGGGUAGUCAACCUGUGAACUUAAGGCCCUAUAGGUACCCUCAUGUGCAAAAGGAGGAGAUUGAGAAGAUAGUCAAUGAGAUGCUGCAAUCUGGUGUAAUCCAACCAAGUAACAUCCCUUAUGCUUUUCCAGUCUUAUUAGUUAAAAAGUAAGAUGGAUCAUGGAGGAUGUGUGUAGACUAUAGGUCCUUAAAUGAGCAAACUGUUAAGGAUAAAUUCCCAAUCCCUGCCAUUGAUGAAUUGCUAGAUGAGUUGCAUGGUGCAAAGAGGUUUUCAAAGUUAGACUUGAGGUUUGGUUACCACCAAAUCAGAGUCCAUGAACCUGAUAUACAGAAGACUGCAUUUAGAACACACAUAUGACAUUUCAAAUUUUUGGUCAUGCCUUUUGGCCUCACAAAUACUCCAGCUACUUUUUAGUCCCUUAUGAAUGAGGUAUUCAAACCCUUCCUUAGAAAAUUCAUUUUGGUUUUUUUGAUGACAUACUGGUGUAUAGCAAGACAUGGGAGGAUCAUCUGGCCCAUCAUAAAUUGACACUACAGCUACUGGAGACUAACCAGUUAUAUGCUAAGAGAAGUAAGUGCACCUUUGGGACUGAGCAGGUUCAUUAUUUAGGGCAUAUCAUAUCUCAUAAAGGUGUGUCAACUGAUCCAAACAAAAUUAACUGCAUGGUUAAAUGGCCUCAACCACAAAACCUCAAAAGCUUGAGAGGAUUUUUGGGUUUAACUGGAUAUUAUAGAAGAUUUAUCAGGAAUUAUGGGAUUAUAAGCAGGCCUUUAACUGAGUUAUUGAAAAAAGAUAGAUUUCAAUGGACUACAGCUGCUACAGAAGCUUUUCUGGCUCUCAAAGAUGCUAUGACCAAGUCUCCAGUAUUGGCAAUGCCUGACUUUACCAAGCCUUUUGUGCUAGAAGCUGAUGCAUCAUAUUAUGGACUGGGGGCAGUCCUUAUGCAGCAAGGCAGGCUAAUAACCUUUUUAAGAAAAAUCAUAGCUCCUAAGCACUUGGGCUGGUCCACCUAUGAGAAGGAACUUAUGUCCUUGGUGCAUGCUGUAAGCAAGUGGAGGCACUACCUACUUGGGAAUAAAGUUCAAAUCAAAACUGACCACCAGAGUUGAAAGUACUUACUUGAUCAAAGGGUGUCCACUGUCAACCAGUAGAAAUGGAUUACCAAGCUAUUAGGAUUGGAUUAUGAGAUUUUUUACAAAAAAAGGAAAAGAAAAUGUAGUAGCUGACUGCCUUUCCAGACCAAUAGGUGAGGAUUCUAACACUUCUUCUUGCCUAGCUAUAUUUACAGAAGUUCCUCAGUGGAUUUCAGAAUUAGCUCUUUCGUGGGAGGCUGAUGAAGGUCUAAAGGAUAUGAUAGCUCAAUUAGUACUGGAUCCUCAAUCUUUACCAGGCUAUUCUUAUACUAAUGGGAGGCUCAAGUUCUUUAACAAGCUGGUGGUGGGUCCUGAUGUAGCACUAAGGAAUAAAUUGUUGACAGAAUUCCAUGCCUCUCUUUUAGGAGGUCAUUCUGGUAUUAGAGGGACUUAUGAAAGAAUUAGCAAGUAUUUUUUUUUGCCAAGUCUAAGAGGUGAUGUAACUCAACUGGUCAGAGGGUGUGAUAUUUGCCAAAGACAGAAACAUGAGACAGUAGCACCUCCUGGCCUUCUUCAACCACUUGUUGUCCCUGAAACUCCUUUGUUAGACAUUUCCAUGGACUUUAUUGAAGAUUUGCCUAAUUUACAUGGGUAUACUACUAUCUGGGUAGUGGUCAAUAGACUUACCAAAUAUGCCCACUUUAUAACACUCAAACACCCUUUCUCAGCUUCAGAUUUGGCUCAAAUUUAUAUUGCACAGAUAUAUAGGCUGCAUGGGUUUCCCUCUAUAAUUGUUUUAGAUAGAGACAAGGUCUUUGUUAGUUUGUUUUGGUAGUCCUUAUUUAAAUUAGUGGGAACCAAGUUGCAUUUAAGCUCAGCUUAUCAUCCCCAAUCAGAUGGCCAAACCGAAAGGUUGAAUCAAGUGCUAGAAUGUUAUUUGAGGUGUAUGGUGGCUCAAAAACCAACUGGUUGGACUAUCUGGAUUCCCUUGGCAGAAUGGUGGUAUAACACUCACCAUCACAGUGGGUUAAAAGCAAUUCCUUUUGAAGCUCUUUAUGGUUACAAACCACCAUACUUCAAUUUUCACCAAAAAGGGAGGGUGCAUGAUUCCAGUACUCAAAGUUUCUGUCAGGACAGAACCAAUUUCCUUAAGCUAUUGAAGCAGAACUUGGUUGAGGCUCAGGCCAGGAUAAAGCAUUAUGCUGACAAGUCUAGAACUGAGAGGUCUUUUAUGGUAAGAGACUUGGUUUAUUUGAGGAUCAAACCCCAUCAACAAACUAGUCUUUCUCAAACCAGGUUUGGGAAAUUAAAUCCUAAGUAUUUUGGGCCUUUCUCUGUGAUUGAGAAAAUUGGCACUGUAGCCUAUAAAAUACAAUUACCAGCUGAUGCUAAAGUACAUCCAGUGUUCCAUGUCUCUUUUCUUAAAAAGUGUAUCGGUUUAAAUUGCCCCAGCUCUCCUACUUUACCUCCAAUCAAUGACCAGGGAAAAUUCUUGGUGGAACAUGUGGCUAUAUUGGAAAGAAAGAUGGUGAAAAAGAACAAUGAUGCGGCUGUGGAGGUCCUCGUACAGUGGUUUAAUACACUACCUUCCGAGGCAACUUGGGAAGAUUGGGAUAGUCUUCAUAGCAGGUUUCCACAAUUUCAUCCUUGAGGACAAGGCUGCUGUUAAGGGGGGAGGAAUUGUAAGGCCUAUCUUAGUGCCAGAUCAUGCUCAGCAGCUCAAUACUUCUUCUUUAGUGCAGUACAUUAGUUGCUUUAGUUUCAUUUCCUAUUAAUAAGAACAGUUGGUUAAUAUUAGUUAGUAAUUUUCUGAUUUAGUAGGUAAGGACAUGGUAGUCCUUGUUCACUUUAGUCCAAGGACAUAUCAGUCUUUUAUUGCCUUUUCUGUUUUGGAGUUCGUUACAUUUUUGUUGCUGAAUGCUGAGCUAUAAGUGUAGGAAUCAAGUUGUAUUUGGAUAUGCGAUGAUUGAAUAAAAAUCUAUUUCUCUCUCUCUUUCUUCUGAGUUUCUCCCUCCUUUGAUAAUUCUUUCUUUCACAGGAAGAAACCCUUUUUCCACUGCUUGAUGAGCUACAUAUUUUGUUGGAACAACAGUCUGUUCCUUACAGAGAGCUCUCCAUUUACAUAGUAAAGAUUCGAUCAACCAAAAAACAUAAAUCAAAACCCUAAUUUAAUCAUAUCCUUACUUUAUUACAUAGUCAAAAAUUGAAAAAGGAAAAACAAGAUUUAUGGUAACUAAUACUAACAAGGAUUUCAUACUAGCCUUACAAAUCAGAUAUCCUAAUCAUUGCCCUAAUUAUGUAUACAUAAAAUCAAGAUUGAUAUAAAAUUUCGAUCUUUGAAGACAAAUAUUAUGAAUUGAGGAGAGAGAAGAGAAUAUGAUUGACAGAACUCUGAUAUUAGUCUUCAAAUCGAGUUGCCACUCAUCGUAAUCUUUCUUAUUUCGUAAUCUAAAUGAGACUUAACUAAUUAGAGGUUUAGAGAAAGAGAAAGAAAAAGAUAAAGAACGAAAUGAAACUUAGCUACUCUAAAUGAUCUGUUUUGUCUUUUAAUUUUUUUUGAGGGAAAUGAAUUGUUUCGUUAUAAAGGUUAAUUCUUGCGAAAUAAUAAUAGCUAGGUCUGUGGUGCUUGAGUGGUCAUAUGAUCAAAGUUCUAAACUGGGUGUUUAAUUAGAGUUUGAAUCAGUGGAGCGCUCACGUGGCACCUGGAGGUUCAAAUUCAAAAUUUUUGAAUAGAAAAAGGGUUUAAUUUGCGUUGACCAAAAGAAAUGGGCUCAAUACCCAAAAAUCAUUAAAGUUCAGUGGUCAACUUUGUAUUUUACCACCCUAACUUUAUCAUUAUAGCAAUCUUUUUCAUGUUGCUCGGAGGGAAAAAAAAUAUUAGAAGGAAAAAGGUUUGGCAAAACUAUGAAUUGACAGACGUUAAAUAAUUAUUAUUUUACACCACUGAACUAAUUAUUAUCAUAUUAUAUUAUUAGAAGGAAAAAGGUUUGGCAAAAGAUUUUAUUAUAUUUUUGUUAUUUUUUUUGCCACAUCAGCAUUAAUUUAUUAUUUUUUUGCCAUGUCAGCGCCACGUCAGCAAUUAUUUAACGUCUGUCCAUUUUUUCUAAUGAAAUGACUUAAUUGUAAAAUAAUAAUUAGUUCAGUGGUGUAAUGCAAAAAAUUAAAAGUUCAGUAGUGUAUUAAAUAAAACGUGCCAAGUAUAAUGGCGAAACUCAUAAUUUUGCCAAAAAGAUUUGGUCUAUUAAUUAGUACUCUCGUAAGUUCUAAACAAACCAAACACAAUUAAUAAUUUUAUUUAUUUACUAAUAAUAGUUUAUAUAAUUAACUUAUACGUUAUUAAGGGCUCAAAUUUUAUUGGAGUAAUUAGCAUGAAGUUAAUAUUGGUUAAUUGACUAAUACAAUAUCAUUACGCAUGUUGAAAAAUGAUUUCUCUCUACGUGUCAAUACUGUAUUAAUUAUUUAACUAAUUUAUCAUGAAAUUCUUCAUAAUAAUGAGAUCCAAAUUUUAUAUAUCAAAAAUAGUAUGUCGUAUUGGACCUCCAAAUACUACUACUUUACCCACAUUAAAAGUUAAUAAUCGAAAAAAUCUCUCUAUUGUCGUUUUAUUUAUUAUUAUCCAAACCCUACUGCUCUACGCACAUUAAACGGUUUAGAAAAAAAGUUGUCAUUGUCCUUUCUCUGCAUGAGUGUGUGAUUGAAUGUAAUUUGGGUCUUAUCAUUCUGUUAGAACGUUUUUUUUUUUUUUUUUUNNNNNNNNNNNNNNNNNNNNNNNNNNNNNNNNNNNNNNNNNNNNNNNNNNNNNNNNNNNNNNNNNNNNNNNNNNNNNNNNNNNNNNNNNNNNNNNNNNNNACACAUUUAUUAUAUUUAUAAGCAAUAACUCUCUUGACUUUUUAAAAAUAUAUUUAAGUCAUUUUUUUAUUGUUGUCCAUGUUAGUGUACGAAAAACUACUUAAUAGCUUUAAAAUUAAUAUAAAAAAAUUACAAUUAACUCCCACUUCUAUACCACGAAGACAAAGGCAACCAAGUGGAAUAGGCGGGUAAUUUAAUUAACCUAGUUGGCUUUAUAUGUUAAAGCUAAUUAGGUUUCACAAAAACAACGGAGUAGCAGCUAAGAGUGUGACAGGUGACCAUUCAAUGGAUAAAUUAACACACAAAAUAUAAAUAAAAAUAUUUUAUCAGUUUUUUCUUAUUAUAAUUAAAAAAGAACUGGAGACUAUAAAAGGGUAUGCAUGGAAGUCUAGAGAUCACAGAAAACACACACUUCAUUUCUUAAGAAAAAAGUUGUUGAAGUUUGAAGAGAUCAUGAGGGCAAUAUAUAUUAUCAGCAUCAUUAUAGUGAGCUUGAGCAUUUUCUCUUGUGGUGGGAAUGCUCGACCUCUUCCUGCUAAUACAGAUUAUCCAUGGGCAAUGUUUGCCCUAAGGCUUCAAUGGCCAGCUGGAUUUUGCGAGGUCAACAAUGAGUGUGAUACAAAGUCUCUCCUCAACACAUUUACCAUUCACGGCCUUUAUCCCUAUAACUCGAAGAUGACCCCAGGGUUAUAUUGUGACGGAACUGCCUUUGAUGUCAACUCUGUGAGUUCUCUCAGUCUGCAUUUAAUUUAUAAUACUUGUUAAAAUCCUUGCUCUAUUGUCUAUUAAAUAUGUUUUUUUGUGCUAACAUUUAUAUUUAUCUUGAAGAGUUGGAUAUGUUUGUUUGAUAAAAAUAAAUGAAAUUGCAUGUACAUGCAAUCUAUCCACAUGUUAAACUAAUUUCUCUUCUCCAUUAUUUUGAAAAUUAACAGGUAUCGGACUUUCAAGCAGAAAUGCAUCUUGCAUGGCCGAGUCAUGAAACUAACACUGAAGACAAACAAUUCUGGGAACACGAGUGGAAGAAACAUGGAAGGUGCUCAGAAGCUUUGUUGAAGCAGACUGAUUAUUUUAGAACGGCGCUUGAUUUUAGAAAGGCAUUUGAUAUAAUUGGGCUACUAAACCAGGAAGGUAAAUAUAUAAUUAACUAGUCUUUAAUUUGGUUCAUUGCUUCCUAAGGGGACAAACAAUGAGAUUACUAUUCAAAAAUGUGUAGGGAUUUACCCGAAUAACGACCUUUAUCGUCCUAAAAUGAUAAAAGAAGCAAUCAAAAAGCACUUGAAUGCUGUGCCAGAAGUCGAUUUCACCAAAAACGAAAACUCGGAAUAUGUGCUUACGGAUAUUAAUCUAUGUGUGAACCAACAAGCAACAAGGUUCGUAGAUUGCCCUACCGAUGACGCUACUGAUGAUUACCGCCUCAAAUUCGUAAGACUACCUUCUAAAAUGAAAACUGCGGAUCCGAGGACCAAUUCUAUAAUAUAGCACAAAUGGUACGGCUACAAAAUGGACUACUAUCUUGUUUAAUUAAUGCUUUUGGGAGUAUUAUCUAUGUAAAAUAGUUGAGUGCUAGGGUUGGAUAAUUAGUACUAUGAGGCCAACCUUUAGUACCUUGAAUAAUGUCCAUGUAGCAAAAGUUUAUGCCACUCUGGCCUUGGUGUGUAUGGAUAAUUAUAAUAAAUAACUACUUUUAUCAGCAAAAAAAUUAAAAUCCAAGUAUUUUCUUUUGUUUUUAUUUUUGAUAAGAACUUAAUUUUAUGUAGUUUGAUGGCAUUGUUUAUCUAGGAAACUGAUAUUUCCAC
rnacentral:lncRNA from 1 species